AGAGUUUGAUCCUGGCUCAGGACGAACGCUGACGGUGUGCUUUAGACAUGCAAGUCGAACGCGAAAGCCCUUCGGGGCGAGUAGAGUGGCGAACGGGUGAGUAACACGUGGGUAACCUGCCCCUCGCAGGGGGAUAACCGGGGGAAACCCCGGCUAAUACCCCGUAUGCUUGUGGAGCCGCAUGGCUCCGCAAAGAAAGGUAGCUUCGGCCAUCCGGCGAGGGAUGGGCCCGCGGUGCAUUAGCUAGUUGGUGGGGUAACGGCCUACCAAGGCGACGAUGCAUAGCUGGUCUGAGAGGACGAUCAGCCACACUGGGACUGAGACACGGCCCAGACUCCUACGGGAGGCAGCAGUCGGGAAUCUUGCGCAAUGGGCGAAAGCCCGACGCAGCAACACCGUGUGAGCGACGAAGGCCUUCGGGUCGUAAAGCUCUGUUGUUGGGGACGAAGGGUUAGGGGUUAAUAGCCCCGAGCCUGACGGUACCCUUCGAGGAAGCCCCGGCUAACUACGUGCCAGCAGCCGCGGUAAUACGUAGGGGGCGAGCGUUGUCCGGAAUUACUGGGCGUAAAGCGCGUGUAGGCGGCUCGUUAAGUCGGGGGUGAAAGCCCGGAGCUCAACUCCGGAUCGCCCCCCGAGACUGGCAAGCUUGAGGCCGGAAGGGGGGCGUGGAAUUCCUGGUGUAGCGGUGAAAUGCGUAGAGAUCAGGAGGAACACCCGUGGCGAAGGCGGCGCCCUGGUCCGGAACUGACGCUGAGACGCGAAAGCGUGGGGAGCGAACGGGAUUAGAUACCCCCGUAGUCC
rnacentral:rRNA from 1 species